rnacentral:rRNA from 1 species
AUUGAACGCUGGCGGCAUGCUUUACACAUGCAAGUCGAACGGUAACAGGCCUUCGGGUGCUGACGAGUGGCGAACGGGUGAGUAAUGCAUCGGAACGUGCCCAGAGGUGGGGGAUAACGCAGCGAAAGCUGUGCUAAUACCGCAUGUGAUCUGAGGAUGAAAGCGGGGGACCAGGCAGCAAUGUUUGGCCUCGCGCCUUUGGAGCGGCCGAUGUCAGAUUAGGUAGUUGGUGGGGUAAAGGCCUACCAAGCCGACGAUCUGUAGCUGGUCUGAGAGGACGACCAGCCACACUGGGACUGAGACACGGCCCAGACUCCUACGGGAGGCAGCAGUGGGGAAUUUUGGACAAUGGGCGCAAGCCUGAUCCAGCAAUGCCGCGUGCGGGAAGAAGGCCUUCGGGUUGUAAACCGCUUUUGUACGGAACGAAAAGGCUCUGGCUAAUACCUGGGGCUGAUGACGGUACCGUAAGAAUAUGCACCGGCUAACUACGUG